GACGAACGCUGGCGGCGUGCUUAACACAUGCAAGUCGAACGGAAAGGCCCUGCUUUUGUGGGGUGCUCGAGUGGCGAACGGGUGAGUAACACGUGAGUAACCUGCCCUUGACUUUGGGAUAACUUCAGGAAACUGGGGCUAAUACCGGAUAGGAGCUCCUGCUGCAUGGUGGGGGUUGGAAAGUUUCGGCGGUUGGGGAUGGACUCGCGGCUUAUCAGCUUGUUGGUGGGGUAGUGGCUUACCAAGGCUUUGACGGGUAGCCGGCCUGAGAGGGUGACCGGCCACAUUGGGACUGAGAUACGGCCCAGACUCCGACGGGAGGCAGCAGUGGGGAAUAUUGCACAAUGGGCGGAAGCCUGAUGCAGAAACGCCGCGUGCGGGAUGACGGCCUUCGGGUUGUAAACCGCUUUCGCCUGUGACGAAGCGUGAGUGACGGUAAUGGGUAAAGAAGCACCGGCUAACUACGUG
rnacentral:rRNA from 1 species